rnacentral:rRNA from 1 species
UGAACGCUGGCGGCGUGCCUAAUACAUGCACGUCGAGCGAACAGACGCGGAGCUUGCUCCUCUGACGUUAGCGGCGGACGGGUGAGUAACACGUGGAUAACCUACCUAUAAGACUGGGAUAACUUCGGGAAACCGGAGCUAAUACCGGAUAACAUGUUGAACCGCAUGGUUCAACAGUGAAAGACGGUUUUGCUGUCACUUAUAGAUGGAUCCGCGUCGCAUUAGCUAGUUGGUAAGGUAACGGCUUACCAAGGCAACGAUGCGUAGCCGACCUGAGAGGGUGAUCGGCCACACUGGAACUGAGACACGGUCCAGACUCCUACGGGAGGCAGCAGUAGGGAAUCUUCCGCAAUGGGCGAAAGCCUGACGGAGCAACGCCGCGUGAGUGAAGAAGGUCUUCGGAUCGUAAAACUCUGUUAUUAGGGAAGAACAAAUGUGUAAGUAACUAUGCACGUCUUGACGGUACCUAAUCAGAAAGCCACGGCUAACUACGUG